AGCCCAUCAUUACGGUUGUGCAAACGCUCUUGAGGUUGUGUGUCAACGCUACUAACAGUUGAGCUACCACGACAACUCUCGAUCCCGGAUGUUAACAAUAUAACGCUAUAUGAACAAUUUUCUCCUGCUCUCGCACUCACGUCAACUUGAUUAUUGAACGCAUUGGAACGUAUUAUACAGAGAAUAUAUGACUGUUCACAAAUCUUUAGUAACAAGGUAAGGAUAUAUCAGUUUGUGAAUUAUUUUUGCUCCCCGAGAGGAGUCAUAAAAUUGGGGAGAUGACCUCCUCACCUUUUUAGCAGGGGAAGCCCACCCUAUAAACUACCCCCACCUAAAGUUACGGAUUUAAGUUUGCCUACUUUCCUUACCUACGUUGUUCUAUUAACUUGGAGCUAUCUACCUUGAAUACCUUCUGCGUUCACGAAUACGGCAAUAUACUGUAUCAUUGAGCCCAAGGAUGUAAAGAAAAGGCACAUAUUAAUUCAGGAGAGAUGGCGCGCGAAUUAAGAAUCGGAGGCUUUACUAAGCUGGUGUUUAAAUUCCAUAGUUAGUAAGCUUUUUCCUCUGGGUACGAAGCUAACGGUAGGGAGGGCCUUAAUUUUUAGUGUUGCCGACGUCUCUAAAAGGCC